AUACGUAGGGGGCGAGCGUUGUCCGGAAUGAUUGGGCGUAAAGGGCGCGUAGGCGGCCUGGUAAGUCUGGAGUGAAAGUCCUGCUUUCAAGGUGGGAAUUGCUUUGGAUACUGUCGGGCUGGAGUGCAGGAGAGGUAAGCGGAAUUCCCGGUGUAGCGGUGAAAUGCGUAGAGAUCGGGAGGAACACCAGUGGCGAAGGCGGCUUACUGGACUGUAACUGACGCUGAGGCGCGAAAGCGUGGGGAGC
rnacentral:rRNA from 1 species